UACGGAGGGUUGCAAGCGUUAAUCGGAAUUACUGGGCGUAAAGCGUGCGUAGGCGGUUCGUUAAGUCUGUUGUGAAAGCCCCGGGCUCAACCUGGGAAUGGCAAUGGAUACUGGCGAGCUAGAGUGUGUCAGAGGAUGGUGGAAUUCCCGGUGUAGCGGGUGAAAUGCGUAGAGAUCGGGAGGAACAUCAGUGGCGAAGGCGGCCAUCUGGGACAACACUGACGCUGAGGCACGAAAGCGUGGGGAGCAAACAGG
rnacentral:rRNA from 1 species